CUCCCCGUCCCAACUCCCACUACUGUCCCGCCCACGGGGGCGGGACCCGUGAAGCCACGCCGAAAACUUGUCUGCUCCUUGGAAGAUUCUAUUGGCUGGAAGGCCGUGGGAAGCCACUACCAGCAACCAAUUGGAACGCACAAUUAGCACCACUCGCUUUCUCAGGAGCCAAUAGAGAAGAGGAACAGGGAAGCGUUUCCUGAGUUCGGGGGUCGGCGGAAGAUGGCGGCGGCCGAAGGGGGUUGGUGUUUGUGCGAGUUACUGAGGUUUUUUUAUUCAUUAUUGUUCCCUGGGCUAAUUGUAUGUGGAACUCUGUGUGUGUGUUUGGUCAUUAUCCUUUGGGGAAUCAGACUGCUGCUACGGAGAAAGAAAAAGUCAGCAUCAACUAGCAAAAAUGGGAAUAAUGAAAUGGUGAUUGCGUUUUUUCAUCCAUACUGCAAUGCUGGUGGAGGAGGAGAAAGAGUUUUAUGGUGUGCCUUAAGGGCCCUGCAGAAAAAGUAUCCUGAAGCAGUUUAUGUUGUUUAUACUGGUGAUGUUAAUGUCAACGGUCAACAGAUACUAGAUGGUGCUUUCACAAGAUUUAACAUCAGAUUGAUUCGCCCAGUGAAGUUUGUUUUCUUAAGGAAACGCUACCUUGUGGAAGAUUCACUCUAUCCUCACUUCACACUGCUGGGCCAAAGUCUAGGAUCCAUUCUCCUUGGCUGGGAAGCUCUGAUGCAGUGUGUUCCUGAUGUUUACAUCGAUUCAAUGGGAUAUGCUUUCACACUUCCUCUGUUUAAGUACUUAGGUGGUUGUCGAGUUGGAAGCUAUGUUCAUUAUCCCACUAUCAGCACUGACAUGCUCUCUGUAGUGAAGAAUCAAAAUGUUGGAUUUAAUAAUGCAGGCUUCAUUACCAGGAAUCCUUUUCUCAGCAAAGUAAAGCUCAUCUACUACUAUUUAUUUGCUUUUAUGUACGGACUUGUCGGUUCUUGCAGUGAUGUAGUCAUGGUCAAUUCUUCUUGGACACUAGAUCACAUUCUCUCACUGUGGAAGGUUGGGAAUUGCACUAGCAUUGUUUAUCCCCCUUGUGAUGUGCAGACAUUUCUGGACAUUCCCUUACAUGAGAAAAAGAUGACCCCAGGACAUUUACUCGUUUCUGUUGGCCAGUUCAGGCCUGAAAAGAAUCAUCCUUUGCAGAUCAGAGCCUUUGCUAAAUUGCUAAAUAAGAAGGAGGCUGAGUCACUUCCUUCACUUAAAUUAGUCCUCAUUGGAGGUUGUCGUAACCAAGAUGAUGAACUUAGGGUAAACCAACUGAGAAGGCUUUCUGAGGAUCUAGGAGUUCAGGAAGAUGUGGAAUUUAAAAUAAACAUUCCAUUUGAUGAAUUAAAGAAUUACUUAUCUGAAGCAACAAUUGGUCUGCAUACCAUGUGGAAUGAGCAUUUUGGGAUUGCACAAAUUGCUCUCUCUACUCUGACCUCCUGUUGUGCACACAUUUGGGUAUAAAAUCAAGUACGGUUUUGUGUCUAAUUUGGUUCAAUAUAUAUUUCUCAAGUGCCUGCUUUGUGCCUCAUGCUGUAGAAAAACAUAAAAGCUGUAGAAAAACAUAAAAGUGAAGUUUCCUACACGAAGGCUACAGUUUCCCUUAUCCUCUUUGUAUCCCUCAUUAGUAACACAGUACUAAGCCCAGACAUUUGGCAAGACUUGUUGAUCCAAACCUUCUGCACAGAGCCUGACAUCCUGUGCUUCCUUCCUCGGAUACUUAUUGAGCAUUUACUGUGCCAGGCAUGGGGGUGAGUGCUGGGAGUAUGACUGAAUUAGGAGCUGUUCCUCCCCUCAGAGGCUUACAGCUCCAAGUGAUGUAGACAAGUUGCCCAGGCGUUUACUGUACAGUGUGCCAGGUGCUGUGCUGGGAAAGUGCAGGUUGAUAGGAAAGCACCUAAGAGAAACACCUAACACAGACUUGUGGGAUCAGAGAACAAUUGCCCAAGGAAAUGAGGUGACCUGUAAGCUCUGCCUCAUGCAAAAGAGGGCAGAGUAUCCAGCGGAGGGAGCAGCACUGUGAUGGGUGGCAGAAAAGGAGCAUUGGCAGGCACAUGCAAGGAACUGAGUUCAGUAUGGCUGAAGCAUAGGGAGGAACAGCAAGACAAUGGAGAAGUGAUCUGCAGCCAGAUCACACGGUCAUGUUAAGCCGGUGGGAAAAGCUAGAAAGAUUUUGAAGUAUUGGAUUUGAAAGCUUUCUGUUCCCUAAAGUUCACUCUGGGUGCGAUGUGGGGAGUGGAUCAGUGAGGAGCAGGGAGAGCAAGACUGCAGGGAGCAGGGAGAGCAAGAAAGACUGCAGCGGCCUAGAGGAGAGGUGCUGGUGCUGAACUUGGUAGGUGAACACGCUUGAGAGAGAUUCUGAAGUAGUACUGAACAGGACUCAGUGAUUAAUUGGAUGUGUUAAAUGAGGGAGAAAGAGCAGUCGGAGAGGACAGCCUAGGUUUUCAGUUUGGACAACUGUGUGAAUGGUGAUGGCUUUCACCUAGAGAGGGGAUCCAAGAGGAGAGGCAGGUGAUGAGCCAAGUUUCGAGCAUGUAGAGUUUGAAUUGUCUGGGGGACACGUAAGUGUGUGUGUCCAGCAGGCAGUUGUAUACAUGAGUCUGAAGUCUCGAGAGGGACCUGAUCUGGAAAUACAGAGCGAGAGUUGUCAUUGUCCAGGUCGUUACAGUACCCAGGUAGUUACAGUACCCCCUGGUGAAGGAUAAGACUGCCCAGGAAAGCGUGUAGAGCGAAAAGAGGCCUGUCGCACAAGAUGCUGAGAACAGUAACAGUUCAGGAGUGGGCAGAAGAGGAGGAGCCAGCAAAGGAGAAGAGAAGAACUAGAGGGAGGAGGAAAACCAGCAGAGUGCGGUGUCGUGGAAACCAGGGGAAGAGAGCCUUUAGGGAAGAAGGGAAAAGGCAGCAGAUUCCUGUGCUGCGCCCAUGCUGGGCAAGGAGUUGUCGAGUGUAUGGCAGCUGGCACAAUUAUCCUUGCACACAAAUCAGGGGGCCCGAAG